GUGCUUACCUUACAGCACACAUACUAAAACUGGAAUGACAAAGAGAAGAUUAGUAUAGCCCCUGUGUAGCAAUGACACACAGACCUAUGAAGCAUUUCAGUUUUUA
ensembl:snRNA U6 U6 spliceosomal RNA